AUUUUUUAUUUUUAUUUGCAUAUCUAUUGCGUUAGAUCUCAUUUGUACUAGAAGUGUCUGUGUACCCUGUUCCUUUGAAAAUUCUAGUAAAACCUACUACAAAAAAAAAAAAAUACAAAUCUAACUACUUUAUAUAGCAGUAUACCUUAGAGAUAAAGAAUGCUACUUUAAAAAUGAAACAAACUACAUUUAGUGUCAGCAGUAGGGAUUUAAAUAGUUUAUUUUGCCCAAUAAAGUACCCUUCAGCAUAAUGACAUUUUCUUAUACAGAUACAAUUGAACAUUUUUCCUUUAAAACAUUAAUGUAUAAUACAAUUAUUAAAUACAUUUUGCUGGAAAAGUGGCCAGCAUCUAGGCCUCUGCAACAGCAAAUGGGUAUCCCUUUGAGUGCCCCAUGGAUAGGUAACAAGAUUCUUCAAUAUGUUCUAUCAUUAGUUCAGCAUUAAGAGUUUUAAUUUUGUUUUACAGGUAUUAGAAGUGUAGUCCUUUUUAUUUACAAAAUAAUACCUCCGUGAAUUCAUUUUUAAUUCUCCCCAUGCCGUCAUGAUAGAAUCUAGUUCAUGUACACAAUAGUAAAAUGAACACAGUCCAACAUGUGUCUUUAACUAUAGUUUUUGUGUUCUAGGUUUCACUUGUAGAUCAGAUAAAAUCAGAUGGACGUUUACAUACGAAAUGUCAGACCCUGCAAACACAUAUCCCUGUAAUCACCCUUUAAAAGAGGUUUUUAGCAGUCAGUAGGAAAGAAGAAUUUUAGCGCUCAAAUCAAAACUGUCUUUGGACUGAAGAAGUGAAUAAAGGAUAGAAUUGCAACAAUAAAAAAGGUGCAAAAUGUAAAUGCCCGUAAACAUGUCUUUUUGGGUUUGCUUAUUUUUUUAACCAAUCUAGGGUUCUGAACAAUAUCGAUCAGAUAUCUGUAGCCAUGCUGUUCGGUUUGUAAUUUGUUUUAAUGUAUAUAAUUAUGUGGACUUUUUACAAUGUGCACCGGCUGACACCGAGUAAAUCUACCCACUAACUACUGGCUAAAGCUGGAACAGGUAUAGUAUAGAAAUUGCUAUUUUUUUCCCCAAUCAGAGCAAUCACAAUGUAGUAAAUUAAAAGUUCUUUUCGCCAAUAUUUUACUAUGGAAAACGUUUUUCUAACUGAAUUCUAUGACAGCUCAAGUAAAGUAACCAACUAAGGUUGAAAAUAGAGCUUUAUUUUAAAAUGAGGUGCAAGUUAUUGCUAAAACCUUCAUGAAUUGCUAAUUUACAGUUUUUUUUAAUAUUUAUAAUAAAAAUUAAAGAUAUGCUUGUAUUUAAACCUACUUUUAACACAGUAAAGGAGUUUAAGCAUGCAUGGGAUAGGCAUAAGGCUAUCCUAAGCAUAAUAUAAGGCCAGGGACCAAUGAAAGUAUUUAGAAAAUUGGGCAGACUAGAUUGGCCGAAUGGUUCUUAUCUGCCAUCACAUUCUAUGUUUCUAUGUGGAUAGAACUGGUUUUCUCAUAAUAAUAAAUUAUGGCUACAUGAUGUAAAUAUUUGGUGUUUCUUCCAGAUGGAAUUGGUUGUGUGUGUUUGUUGCACAUUUGUUAUAGUUUUGGAGGUUUUAAUAUAUAAAAUAAACCAUUUAAAAAAAAAAACACAACUAGUAAUGAAUUAAUAAUAUAGUGACAUUUCAAAGUGGACACCACUUAAAUAAAUAUCAAAUUAGAAUUCCUUGUAAUAGGAAUUUGUAAAAACAGAUAAAUAAAACAAAACAAUUUAAACACUGCAUUGUCAUAACUACUCCAUUAAUAAAGGGCAAUUCUUAUUUUUCUUUUGUCACUCAAUCCCUGCAACUGAGAGUCACUAAUAAUCUGGUAUACAGUGAUUUUAAAGUACUGGCAUCUAACACAAGCCAACUUCAUACUCAAUAUUGAUGUUCUAUUACCAUAUGGAGUGGCUCAGAAAGUUCUAGAUCUGUGGGAACAUGUUUCAGAGCAAGUCAAUUCAUGUAUUGCAUGACAGUUUUGCAAAAUGGUUUUACAAUAUUACAUUUCUGAAGAACUCGUCAUGUUUCUUGUAACCUUUUAUCAGUGUUAAAAACAUGUUUUGGAUUUUUUUUUGAGUUAAAAAGAAGUAUCUUUGAUGAUCAGAAUACACAUUGUUUUUUCAAUGUUUUAUUACACUUUUGAUCCAUUUCACAGUUAAUAUCUAUUUACAGAUUCUUUGAUUGUUAAACUUUGAGGCAGCAGAUAAAGUCACACACUCACAGAAAUUGAAAAUGGCAUACGAUUUUAAAACGGUUAGGCUAUCAUGAGGGAUGGACUAGUUAUCUACAUAAAUCUACAUCAGGUAAAGACACUAUCCUUGUUAAACAAAACCAAAAAAAAACCCUUAUUGUUCAAAAAUAAACAAAACUUUAGGAGAAGAGAGCAUGUUUGCCACUUAUGUGCAAUAAGUACCAAGUCAAGCAAACCACAUUAGAGGCCACUUCAUUUGGAUAAAAACACACAUUUCCUAGAAAUUAAAUUAACAGAUUAUGAAAUGUUGAUCCGUAUCUUAAGUCAUUUUGCCAGCAACCAUUUAGAAACAAGAUGUGAGCAGCCAUUUUGUAAGCGACUUUGUACGCUUAAUUAGCUGUCUGAUGGCUACCCUAUUUCCCAAAGAUUAUGCAGUAAAAACCAUGAAAUGAUUUCUUCAAAAACAUGUGCGUUUUUAAUGCAUUUCUUUCUGGUAACAUAGAAUUGCUUAUUUACAGGCACAUACAUUUUAAUAAUGCCCAUACCUGGCAGGACAUACAUUAAAAUAAAAACAAGACCUGUUUUCAUUUAACAGGAAAAUAAACGUGUAAUUGAAGCCAGCAAUACGAAUUCCUAAAAUGUCCAUUUAGAAUAAAAUACAUUAAAAUUUUCGUGAGGGUAGGGGAAAAAAAUUGCAAGACAUAUAAACAAAGAGAAGAAAUUCCAGCAGCAAUUUUAACAUGGUUUUAAUAGUAUGAUUGAGACUUAUGAAAGUGGACAUACUGCACUCAAGUUCCGAGAACCGGUCAUGAAUAUGAAUGGCAGUUUAUACAGGUGUAGAGUACAUUGAUAAUCUUCCUAAAGACUUAUUUUGCUAAGAAACUUGACAAAAGCAAUUUGCGUUUUCAGCUGCUCACCCAUGGAGCAAAUCUAUUUGAUGGGGUUAUUGAUCAGUGCCCUUUCUAUACAACCCCAGUACUAUAAUACCCACACAUAGAACAAAAUACGCACGAUUGCCUCUUCUGAACAUUCUAUAUGUUCUAUAGUAAAUUUCUAAAUGACAUUUACCUGGUUGCAAUGGUUUAUGAAAAUUGUUGUGCUCACUAGGGAUGGGCAAAAGCUUAGUUUUAGUCUAGAGUAAACUCCUGUGAGCAAAGUAUGCUCUAUCGUAAUCUUGAAAUUGCUCCUUCAAGACUUAUACAGAACUGCUCUUUUUGCUGAAGCAUUCAUGAAAAAGAUUUUUUGGGACCAAGUAGGCAGAUGUUUACAUUAAUACUCAAGCAUUCACUGCAAAUCAUACUGCCAGUCACAAUCUUUUUUAUAAAGUCCAAAAUAGAAUGUGCAUAUUUUACAGUAGGCCACAGAAUAAAGGAAUGUGUUUCAUUGCCAGAAAACAGGAGAAACUUAAAUAUUGCAGGUAGCAAUACAGAGAUGUUCUGAAUCUAGAGGAGAGGCACUGAAUCUUAUCAGAGAUGCAUUACUGUAGCUGGAGGUGUCAUUACAAGAAUAACUCAUUUGUCCAGCCUUUUUACCCUGCUCCUGGAACCAAAUGAUGACAUAACAUGCAUGACGUGCAAACAUUUUAGUGGUUAUCAGCCAUCCUAACCAAUUUCCUUCCUUCUUGGAAAAGUUCCUUCCCCCCCCCCCCCCCCCACCUCUAGUAAUCACAGGUACCUCACUGAUCAUAAAGAAGAUUUCCACCAAAUGAGCCAAGGUACCAUAACAAAUGCCAACAAGAAAUGUCUGGAUAAAUGUCAAAUAGUCUUUGGUUAGCACAAGUAGAACAUUAACUCCCUUAUUAUCCUUUGAUGUAUAAAUGCUAAAGAUUAUUAUUACUAUUUUUAUAAACACCUAAUAUACAUUUAUGCUGGAGUUGUAGUAGCCUGAAUGCAUUCAGGUAUCUGACUUUUUUAUUUUUAUUUUUUUAGGUAGGAUUUUACUUUUGCAGGUAAACUAUAGACUACAGUAGUGAUUUAUUAACCCUUUUUCGAUCGCUAUGAAAGUGCAAAGCUGCAAUAUUGCAGUGUUUUGAUAAAUAAUAUUGCAAAGUAAUAUAUAGAGUAAUAUAAUCUAAGUCCACCAGUACGUGCCACGCAUCUUUAAUGAUUGCUUGUUUUUACAUUUUAUUAUGAACCGUUAGGCCCUUUGAGUCCCAGAAGAUUUAGCAGAGCCACCUGCUCUAAAAGGAAAUGAGUAUACAAUGUCAAGUCAUCAUUCACUGACAUCUAACUGAUUUCAUUACAGUAGGAAAGUACAAAAUAUAAUCCUAAUAUCCUACACUUUGUUUAACCAAUGCCACAAUCUUACAUAUAUAUAUACACAUUGAAUGAUGUGAAGGAAUGUAGCAGGUUCUGUUAAGAUAAGUGGCAAUUCUAUGCAUUAGCUUUGGCCUCCAAAUAGGCAUGAUACUUGUAGAUACAGAUAGGGGAGUGUAGGCCAUUUUUGACGUAGGGGGGAUCCUACAUAUAGAUUGCCUUUUUGUUGCGCAAGAAACCCACAGAUCUCUGUGAAUGGUCCUAGUCACAUGGAGCAUUCACUAUAUGGAUUUGAUAGAUGAAUGCUUUUGGGGUUGCUAGGUGUGGCAUCAUAUAUCUCUGCAACCACCAUAAGUAUGACCUGUGUAGCAGGACUGAUUAUUAACAAUGAUCUCUGCAUGUCUAAAAGAGAAACCCAUGCUACCAAUGACGUCGGUCUUUUAGAAAAUGAGCAGGGUCUCAUUUCAGACUGCAGUCACUUGUAGAAACCUCAUAAUCCAGCAGCAUGGUCAACCCUUAGUCCACUGGGAAAUACGUUUAUGGACCAGUCCAUGAAGGUGAUCAUAGACACUGCAGCGGCUACAAAACCCAACAGUGCUGAGCAAAGGCCCUGGAUAAUUCUUGCCUGCUGCUUCACUCCUGUUCACACCAAUGAACAUCCCAAUGCACACCUAACAUUUUAAUACAGUGUGAAGCUGCAGCCAUUGAUAGCCCUGCCAUGUUUGUUCAGUGGCCCUGUGCAAGACUCCCAUGGAAAAAGAUGACAUACUAUCUAACUAUAAUUUUGAUAGCCACGUAACUGCCCAAUUACAGAAUGCUAUAUAUUUAAAUCUAGACUCGCAGCAAGUUUCCCAUUUACUGAGCUAUCGAUCAUGCACUUUUGAUGAAUGGAUGUACUGCCUCCAUCAUAUGCACAUUAUUUUAAAGAAGGCUACUUACUGUCCAUGUAUCUCAAAUGUAGGUCUACUACAUGAGAGGACCAUACCUUACCCUAUUUUAAAACUUGGCUCAGGUUAUAUAUAUUUAAGGUUGCUAACCUUUGUAAAUAGAUUGUCUUCAGACACUGCAAGAAAUUUUCAACUUCCAACCAGUGUUUAUUCAUAUAUAAUACAUUCUUGCACUUCAGCACAAUAAAAAGGUCAUUGCAAGAACAACACCGAAAACAUGUCACGGAUCUUCAUUAGGACAUAUAGAAAGUAUAUUUUAAUCAAGUGAACACAGCUCAUCAUAACAUCCCAUUUCAGAUCUAUUUUAUAAAUAUUCUGCUGCAAUCUGAGUGUAUUGGAUAAACCAUCAAUUUUUUAACUUCACCUGCUAUUAAGCCAAUGAACACUAGAUUUUUUUAGUUUAUUUUUUUUUUAUUGAGCUUAGGGUGGAAUGUGAAGUAGAAGAUGUUUAGAAUUGUGAAAAUACUAUUUUAAGGUACUUCUGAUUAUUUAUAUAAAAAAGCAGCUGGCACAACUUUAUCCCUAGAUACAGUAAAUGUCACACCAGGUGCCAGGUACCUGUCAAACAGUAUGCAUUGUCCUAUACUAAUUUUAUAUAGGAAUUGGACUAGUGGAUAUUAUUGCUGUGUCAACUACUUUAUCAAUUGCUAAAAGGGCAUUUAACAAUAUAUUUUGUUCUCUAGUGGUAUUUUGAAGAUAAAAAAAUACCAAAAUUAAGUGAGAUGUUCAGACUUGAGGGACAAAUUAGGACAGUCCCUCAGGAGAACUGGAAGGCAUUUAAAUGGGUGUAAAAGAAGUGGUUUAGAAACCAAAAUAAUGUUAAUUUUUAAAUCAUAUUUAUGGCUUUAGUCUUCAAGUGAAACAGUCACUAAAAUUAAGGUUCAGAAUAACUGUGUAAAGCUUAAAAAAUAAAUACCAAAAAAUAUUUAUAACUUAUGCCACCAGAAACAACUACCCUGUCUGUGAAAUCACCAACUUGACCUCAUAUACAACUACGUUUCAAUGCAGUCAUUCAUGAUGAGGUUUGGUAUUACAGACACAGAGAAUUGCCAAAUCAAAACAAUUUCUAUCUAUAUAUAUUUACAAGAAUUUUUGUAAACUCACUGUGUUCAAACAUGUUCCAGACAUGUAUAACCUAUAUGCUCCCCUUAAUACACCAGAAGCAGAAGGUAUCCCCUUAAAAACACAACUUCUGGAAUAAAAGGGAAUCGUGACGGAAUAUUUAAUACUCCCUUCCCUCCUCAAUCAGACUUUCACCCAGCCUCCACUCCUUAAACUCACUUCUUCAUUAAAGCGUAUCAAUUAAACUGUCAGCAGGUUUCUCACCCCCACCCCAUGACUCCUUUCCUGCAACUGUCAAAAAUGACCUACCAAGCACUCAAUAAACUAUUUAAUUCCCCUACUUUAACCCUUUGUGUUACUAUACCCCACUCCCUCUAGCAUGUAAGCUCAUCGAGCAGGGCCCUCAACCCCUCUGUUCCUGUACGUCCAGUGGUCUGAUCUCAAUGUGUCUGUUAGUUCACCCAUUGUAUAGCGCUACGGAAUUUGUUGGCGCUAUGUAAAUAAUAAAAUAAUAAUAAUGUGUCCUUAGGGGGGUAUUCGAUUUUGAUGUACCCCAACCUAUUCACUAAUGAGUUAGUGGCACCAUAUUAUGCCAUCAGUGAUGUAAUACUAUAUGAAUGACUUGGCUAUUAUAACCUCAAAUAUCUAUGCACAGCUCUGGUAUUACAUCUAAGGAUGCUCAAAAAUAUUUUCUAUUGUAACAAUAUAUUUAAUGCACAUAGUCACCUUGAAAACUACUUUCCCACCUUGUGGUAUGUGUACCCCAAAAAGUAUUUCUUGAAAUGGCUAGUGUGUAACCUAGGGGCACUGUAAAUUUCAACAUUCAUGUGAGGUUACUAGCUUGGAAAUAAAUAUCUGUUGAUAGGGAUACUUUAUCAGCCACAUUCUGAGAAGCAUGAUUCUAACAGAUAUUAAGAACUCAAUAAAGCCCUUGUGGCUAUAAAGUUUCAUAUGCACAAUGGUGUCAAGGCGAAUAUUAAAAUGACGUGUUAUUUGUGUUUCAAGCUAAAUAUUAAAUGUAUAUGUUGUACAUAAGCUCAUGCUUGUAUAUUUAAAAUACAUGUAUUUGGUUUGCAUAUUUUAAAAUAAGUAUUGAACCUUUACCUUCUUAGGAAAAAUAUAUUUAAACAAAGGGCUGUUCAUGUGACUGAUUUCUUUAGAUUAGGUUUAUAAGCAAAGUCAAGUACAGAUUAGGUGUGGACUAUACACUUAGAUAAAAUUUCAGCUAGAUGAGAAUAUAUGAGAAAUUAAACAUUCAAAACCUACACAAAGAGUUAAUUGCCACUGCCACUAAACAGAUAAAAACCAAAGGUUUAGAUGACCAAGACUCACUAUAUUUUUAGAACAUACAAGACAGUCUGGUGCUGACCAUAACUACUAUUACAUCAUUGUAAGAAUUAUUAAAAAUGUAAAAAGAAAAAAAAUUGUGUGUCAGAUCUCUUCAUUGCAGUGAAAUAUUACAUAUUAUGUUAUGUAACAAUAUUUAUUUUACUUUUCACUGCUGUAAUUUCUUGUGUUUACUUUUGUACACUUUUCUUUAUCAUUCAAUUUGCUAUCCUUGCAAUUCAGAUCUUUCACACAAGCUUAGUGUAGGAGGAUUUGAUACUGCCUGCAUAAUUGAUACUGCUGUAUUUGUCUUUUUCAAUUAAUGGGUAUGUCUGCAUUCAAAUGAUCAAGGGAUAUCACCACAAAACACCCAUAAUAGCUGUUUUUUUGAAGAACCAAUGAAACAUUUACAGAACUAAAAGUGAUUAUCACAUGUUAAUAAAGCAUUUAAAAAGUAAAUUGUAAUAUAAAUUGGUCUUGGUGUCCAAUAUUGUCACUAACUGAAACUUAAUACACUGACCACAGAUUUAUCAGUGGUAAAAAAAAUUAAAAAAAAUAAAAAAUAAGCCCUGUAUUUAUUAAUGUAUACAUAACAAGGCCCCAGUAGCUAAAAUGUUUUUUUUUUUUUUUUUUUUAAAUAAAAUAAUUUUCUUUAAGUUUCGUUAGCUCUUGUGCUUGCAACCAGUGGCGGAACUCCCUGUGGACCACUGCGACCGCGGCCCUGCAUUGAAAGGUCCUAUCAGGUGGCUCAUGCUGUUAGGGCCACACGAUGGAAAUGAAUUUCCAGGGGGCUCGGUUAGCGCUGUGGCACUUUAACAGCACAACCAGGCCUCCUGGGAUGACGUGAGAUGCUGGGAGGAAGUGACUGCCCCGGUCACUUCUCCCAGCAUUCAAAGAACCCGCGCUGGAGGAAGGAGAGGAGGGAGUCAGAGUGGGAACUCUGACUCCCAUCAGCCUGAGCCACCACUGGAACCCAGGGAAGUCACCUUCCUGCACCUAAAAGGUAGGAAACAGGAGGGUGACUAAAACAUUUUGUAUGCAUGUGUGUUUGUCUGUGUACGUAUGUCUUUGUGUUUAUACAUGUGUCUGUAUGCCAGUGUAUGUGCGUGUCUCUGUAUAUGUGUAUGUGUCUAUGUGUGUGGGCAAUGUAUGGAAGGGGGAGGGUAGACGUAUGGGCGGGGUGGCCCUAGGGCAAUUUUCACACGGGGGGCCCUGUGGUUUCUAGUUACGCCUCUGCUUACAACUUUUCGUUUCAUGCAUACAAAAAAAAAAAUUGUUCACACAGAUCACAACACAUAUUCUAUAAUAAAUUUGAUGCACUUAUACAAUGUCAAUAGUAUCUGUCUCGAUCGAUUAAGUUUAUGACUUAAUAAAUGGGGUUUAGCAAAAUACAUCUAGCUUGAAAAGAAGAAAAAAAAAAAGAUUUGAAAGGUUGUCCCUUGUGGCUAUAUAUGGUACUGCACAGAUUAUUCCAAUUAGAGUGAUGCAACAGCCUUUUUUUAGAAUUAGUUCAAACAUUUCUUUAGAAUUAGUAUUGAAAUUAGAAAGGAGCUGCUCUACCCAGAGAGGAGGUGGAUCAACUAGAAUUGACCGGCUAAUAUUUCCUUAUGCACUGUUAAAUUUUUUGUUCAGUUUUUAAAAUGUCCACACUACACAGGGUCAAUUAUUUAUGUAUGCAUAAUUUUAAUAUAUUAAAGGGAUACUUAUUACAAAGUUUCUUAUCAUCUUACCUAAAUUUUGGCACAGCUUACAUUAUUAUUUUUAGAUAUCAAUUUGGUUAGAGUUAAUGUUUGCUGAGCAAUAUGGGAAAUGUUGGUGUCUCAAAAUGGUGGGAUUCUGCCAACUUCAAAGAAGACCCAUAGAGAAGACUUCUCAACAUUCCAACCUGUACAUUAACUCCAGUCUCAAUUCAAAACUUUAUUCAUAUGCUGGAGCAGAAUCCCACUUUUUAUCGUUUCUCUAGAAGUUGAAACAUUUUUGAAGGGUUUAUGAGCCAACCUGAAAAGAGGAGAGCUAUGGCAUAAUUCAAUUGUGCUCGGUAUAAAAUACAGAUAGCUAAGUUAAGAGCCAGUGGUAAUAACCUUGGCAGAUUGUCUCCUGGGGUGUGACAAACCUUGCUCUACUACCUAUCAAGAUCUCCAGAGAAAAUAUAAAUGAGUUUCCUCCAACCUUUUGCUAAGAAAAACAUUACAUUGUAAUAAAAAAAAUAAAAUCGAUAAUUGUUCGAAAACAUAACAUGCGUAUGGAGCAAGAAUUUAAAGCACCAUAAGAUAUCUAUUUUUUGUUGACAAAAAGGUAACAGUUUCUACACAGUCAAGACAUAAAAAUCUACUUUAUAUUGAUAAUGUCAAGUAUAAGAAAUACACAAAAAGAUACACAAAAGAGAGAUACAGACUAACAGUGAGGGAAAGAGUCUCACACAAAUAUGAACACACAUGGGAACACACUGAGAACUAGACAAACAUACAUACACACACACACAGGCUUGCCAACCCACUUAAAGUCAGUCCCGGUUAAAUCUAUUAAAAUUCUGGUUUUCGCAGCAACUCUACUCCCUUUAAAAAUCUAGAUGGAUGCCUUGCCAAUGAAGAACAAAAAAAAAAACAAGUUAUUUUAUUCUCCAAAACGAACAUGCUUUCUAAUUGUAAGGUUCUAUUUGACCUACAUGUUUUGAAAUUUUAGUGUAAACUUAACUUUUGAUAGACCAGACCAGUCCUUAUUGUCCACCAACAAUUCAGGAUUUCUGUAUUUAAUUUUUAUUCCACUAGAGAUGCUGACAAAAUCUUAGAAUGCAUUCAUAACGAAGAUACUAUGGUUCUAGUAUCUGCAAAUAAUCAAAGAUAAAUCUGGUCAAACCUCUCCAGCACAGACAUGGUGGCCUAUUGAUAUUGAUAUAAGAGAAAAUGCUGUUUUAACAAGACUUUACAGGGACUUCUACUUAUUCUCGAAUGAGGUUGGGGCUGUGAAUACAUUAAAUUCCAAGCACAUGUAUUUAUUUAUCCUUUGUGUGAAAUAUUAAAUUUUGUCUAGAUUUGAUAUAUUUCCGUUAUAUUUAAGUUUAAUGCACAAUGUUUCAAACUAAAACAAUAUUUAACAAACAUUAGUGAACAAAAGUCAAU